rnacentral:lncRNA from 1 species
AUCCAGAGGCGCCCGCAAAGGAACGCGACGCGUCGACGUCUCGCUAGGGCGCAUGCGCCUUGCCCCGCCGUGCUGACGACACACGUCGCACUGAAAGUAGGGUUUGUCAGCCUGCCUUCGGUUUCGACUGUGCUGCACUUAGCUGGAGGCCGGUUUUGUAGCUAUGUGAAUAAUUGCUAGCGCUGUAAGACCCCCGAUGCUGGGCCUCUGCUCAAGUCCUGGGAUGAACUGGCCAACACCCCAACAUCUCGAGAGAAAAGAUGCACCUGAUGCAAACUGCAAGAGGUUUUAUUAUCAGCUAGCUGAGGAGAAGUCCCUCUGUCGUGCAGGGCAGAGGAGUUCAACCCCGAGCGGUGACAUUAGGGGACUUUUAACAGCUAGCUGAGGAGAGUGACCCAGUCUCUGUCUCCUAUCAUGAGAGCAAAUGAAGAAUUCAACUGAACUUGGCCACAAACUCAAAUUCAGUGCAGAUGAUGAAAGACCCACAACGUGAGGACUCCCCCACGUUCUGACUCAGGAGAGGCGACUCUCCAAAAUCACUGAGAAACGGUCUUGUUGCAAAUUGCAAGAGGAUUUUUAUUUAAGAGCGCUCUCGGGCCCACGGUCAUACACCACGCAGGGGUAGAGGACCGUGGCGCCCCGAGUAGCUGGAUUAGGGGUAUUUAAAGGAAGAAACCACAACUUAAGGAGGUGGGAAGGGCGUUGUUGGAAAAUACCAAAAAUACCAGUUAAGAGUCACAAGGAAGUGCAAAGUUACAAGAGUCACAAGGAAUACCUGAAAAGAAUUCCGAAAACAGCAAAAUGGGUCCCGGGCAGCCGUUGUCCACUGGAGCCAGGUUCUCUACCUGUUACAUUGGAUUGUGGUUAGCUGAGUUGCGUGUUACCCUUCUCCUC